AGGGGAGUGAAAAAGAACCUGAAACCGUGUACGUACAAGCAGUGGGAGCACAGAGCAAUCUGUGUGACUGCGUACCUUUUGUAUAAUGGGUCAGCGACUUAUAUUCUGUAGCAAGGUUAACCGAAUAGGGGAGCCGAAGGGAAACCGAGUCUUAACUGGGCGUUAAGUUGCAGGGUAUAGACCCGAAACCCGGUGAUCUAGCCAUGGGCAGGUUGAAGGUUGGGUAACACUAACUGGAGGACCGAACCGACUAAUGUUGAAAAAUUAGCGGAUGACUUGUGGCUGGGGGUGAAAGGCCAAUCAAACCGGGAGAUAGCUGGUUCUCCCCGAAAGCUAUUUAGGUAGCGCCUCGUGAAUUCAUCUCCGGGGGUAGAGCACUGUUUCGGCAAGGGGGUCAUCCCGACUUACCAACCCGAUGCAAACUGCGAAUACCGGAGAAUGUUAUCACGGGAGACACACGGCGGGUGCUAACGUCCGUCGUGAAGAGGGAAACAACCCAGACCGCCAGCUAAGGUCCCAAAGUCAUGGUUAAGUGGGAAACGAUGUGGGAAGGCCCAGACAGCCAGGAUGUUGGCUUAGAAGCAGCCAUCAUUUAAAGAAAGCGUAAUAGCUCACUGGUCGAGUCGGCCUGCGCGGAAGAUGUAACGGGGCUAAACCAUGCACCGAAGCUGCGGCAGCGACGCUUAUGCGUUGUUGGGUA
rnacentral:rRNA from 1 species